UACGUAGGUGGCAAGCGUUAUCCGGAAUUAUUGGGCGUAAAGCGCGCGCAGGUGGUUUCUUAAGUCUGAUGUGAAAGCCCACGGCUCAACCGUGGAGGGUCAUUGGAAACUGGGGAACUUGAGUGCAGAAGAGGAAAGUGGAAUUCCAAGUGUAGCGGUGAAAUGCGUAGAGAUUGGGAGGAACACCAGUGGCGAAGGCGACUUUCUGGUCUGUAACUGACACUGAGGCGCGAAAGCUAGGGUAGCAAACGGG
rnacentral:misc_RNA from 1 species